UCCGGCUUACACCGGCGGUCUCCUGUGAGUCCCCAUCUUUCAUGCUGGUAACACAGGACGAGGGUUGCGCUCGUUGGCGGACUUAACCGUACACCUCACGGCACGAGCUGACGACAGCCAUGCAACAAGUGUCUUCACGUCUCCUUGUGGGAGAGGAGCCUAUCUCUAGGCUUUGCGAUCGAUGUCAAACCUGGGUAAGGUUCUUCGGUUAGUAUCGAAUUAAUCCACAUGCUCCACCGCUUGUGCGGGUCCCCGUCAAUUCAUUUGAGUUUCAACCUUGCGGCCGUACUCCCCAGGCGGGAUACUUAAUGCGUUAGCUGCGGCACAAGAGGGGUCGAUACCUCUUACGCCUAGUAUCCAUCGUUUAGGGCGUGGACUAC
rnacentral:misc_RNA from 1 species